rnacentral:rRNA from 1 species
GAUGAACGCUGGCGGCGUGCUUAACACAUGCAAGUCGAACGAUGAAGCCCAGCUUGCUGGGUGACUUAGUGGCGAACGGGUGAGUAACACGUGAGUAACCUGCCCUUAACUCUGGGAUAAGCCUGGGAAACUGGGUCUAAUACCGGAUAGGAGCGUCCACCCCAUGGUGGGUGUUGGAAAGAUUUAUCGGUUUUGGAUGGACUCGCGGCCUAUCAGCUUGUUGGUGAGGUAAUGGCUCACCAAGGCGACGACGGGUAGCCGGCCUGAGAGGGGGACCGGCCACACUGGGACUGAGAUACGGCACAGACUCCUACGGGAGGCAGCGGUGGGGAAUAUUGCACAAUGGGCGCAAGCCUGAUGCAGCGACGCCGCGUGGGGGAUGACGGCCUUCGGGUUGUAAACCUCUUUCAGUAGGGAAGAAGCGAAAGUGACGGUACCUGCAGAAGAAGCACCGGCUAACUACGUG